rfam:Trichobilharzia regenti genome assembly, scaffold: TRE_scaffold0006570
AUCCGGAUGACGAGUCCUAAAUAGGGCAAAAUGUGCAUCUUGGAU